rnacentral:rRNA from 1 species
GAUGAACGCUGGCGGCGUGCCUAAUACAUGCAAGUCGAGCGAACAGAUGAGGAGCUUGCUCCUCUGACGUUAGCGGCGGACGGGUGAGUAACACGUGGAUAACCUACCUAUAAGACUGGGAUAACUUCGGGAAACCGGAGCUAAUACCGGAUAAUAUAUUGAACCGCAUGGUUCAAUAGUGAAAGACGGUUUUGCUGUCACUUAUAGAUGGAUCCGCGCCGCAUUAGCUAGUUGGUAAGGUAACGGCUUACCAAGGCGACGAUGCGUAGCCGACCUGAGAGGGUGAUCGGCCACACUGGAACUGAGACACGGUCCAGACUCCUACGGGAGGCAGCAGUAGGGAAUCUUCCGCAAUGGGCGAAAGCCUGACGGAGCAACGCCGCGUGAGUGAUGAAGGUCUUCGGAUCGUAAAACUCUGUUAUUAGGGAAGAACAAAUGUGUAAGUAACUAUGCACGUCUUGACGGUACCUAACCAGAAAGCCACGGCUAACUACGUG